UUUUAUAAUCAGGGGUAAAGUCAGCUUGGUCUGACCAACUGCAGGACGCGCUAGUCCUUUGCUAGCUGCACACCAUGUUCCACUCAAUAUAACUACUCGAGGUGGUACAAGGAAGAAACCAUGAGAGGAACCAGGCUUAAAAGGAAUCCCAUCUUCAACAUGGUCAACAACAGACGCUGGAACACGCCAGACUGGAGUGUAUGGUUCCCAUAGCAACAGUGUGUAGCUGCUAGACACAACAUGAGCAGAUGGGGAGCAAAAAUAUGGAAAAGUGGUUCCAUUACACAGGAUGGUGUGAUGUGUGUGCAUAUAUAUAUGAAAAA